UGGGGAAUAUUGCACAAUGGGGGAAACCCUGAUGCAGCGACGCCGCGUGAGCGAAGAAGGUUUUCGAAUCGUAAAGCUCUGUCCUAUGAGAAGAUAAUGACGGUAUCAUAGGAGGAAGCCCCGGCUAAAUACGUGCCAGCAGCCGCGGUAAUACGUAUGGGGCGAGCGUUGUCCGGAAUUAUUGGGCGUAAAGGGUACGUAGGCGGUCUAUUAAGUCAGGUGUGAAAGCGUGAGGCUUAACCUCAUUAAGCACUUGAAACUGAUAGACUUGAGUGAAGGAGAGGAAAGUGGAAUUCCUAGUGUAGCGGUGAAAUGCGUAGAUAUUAGGAGGAAUACCGGUGGCGAAGGCGACUUUCUGGACUUUUACUGACGCUAAGGUACGAAAGCGUGGAGAGCAAACAGG
rnacentral:rRNA from 1 species